rnacentral:rRNA from 1 species
CCUACGGGGGGCAGCAGUGGGGAAUAUUGGACAAUGGGGGGAACCCUGAUCCAGCCAUGCCGCGUGUGUGAAGAAGGCCCUCGGGGUGUAAAGCACUUUCAGUGAGGAAGAACGCCUGGUGGUUAAUACCCAUCAGGAAAGACAUCACUCACAGAAGAAGCACCGGCUAACUCCGUGCCAGCAGCCGCGGUAAUACGGAGGGUGCGAGCGUUAAUCGGAAUUACUGGGCGUAAAGCGCGCGUAGGUGGCUUGAUAAGCCGGUUGUGAAAGCCCCGGGCUCAACCUGGGAACGGCAUCCGGAACUGUCAAGCUAGAGUGCAGGAGAGGAAGGUAGAAUUCCCGGUGUAGCGGUGAAAUGCGUAGAGAUCGGGAGGAAUACCAGUGUCGAAGGCGGCCUUCUGGACUGACACUGACACUGAGGUGCGAAAGCGUGGGUAGCAAACAGGAUUAGAUACCCGAGUAGUC